GACGAACGCUGGCGGCGUGCUUAACACAUGCAAGUCGAACGAAGUGUCGAACUGGUGAGUAACGCGUAAUCAACCUGCCCUUCAGAGGGGGACAACAGUUGGAAACGACUGCUAAUCCCGCAUACUGAAGGAGGGGAUUGCGUCUGAUUAGCUAGUUGAAGGGGUAACGUCCUACCAAGGCGAUGAUCAGUAGCCGGUCUGAGAGGGUGAACGGCCACAUUGGGACUGAGACACGGCCCAGACUAAUACGGGAGGCAGCAGUGGGGAAUCUACCGCAAUGGACGAAAGUCUGACGGAGCAACGAAGCGUGAGUGAUGACGGCCUUCGGGUUGUAGAGUUCUGUUAAUCGGGACGCGGUACCGGAAUAGAAAGCCACGGCUAACUACGUGCCAGCAGCCGCGGUAAUAC
rnacentral:rRNA from 1 species